CUAUGAUAUGGUCUAAAUCCUGACUGGAAAUCCUCACAGAUGCCAUUUUUCUCUAGAAUAUAAUUGUGAGGAUACUACCUUUUCUAGUAUCUUGGACAGAAAAGGGAGAUUCGAGAUCGGUCUAUAAUUAACUAGUUCUUUGGGGUCAAGUUGUGGUUUUUUGAUGAGAGGCUUAAUAACAGCCAGUUUGAAGGUUUUGGGGACAUAUCCUAAUAACAAUAAGGAAUUAAUAAUAGUCAGAAGAGGAUCUAUGACUUUUGGAAGCACCUCUUUUAGAAGCUUAGAUGGAAUAGGGUCUAACAUACAUGUUGUUGGUUUAGAUGAUUUAACAAGUUUAUACAAUUCUUCCUCUCCUAUAGUAGAGAAUGAGUGGAACUGUUCCUCAGGGGAUCUAUAGUGCACUGUCUGAUGUGAUACUGUAGCUGACGGUUGCAUGGUUACAAUUUUAUCUCUAAUAGUAUCGAUUUUAGAAGUAAAGUAGUUCAUAAAGUCAUUACUGCUGUGAUGUUGGGAAAUGUCAACACUUGUUGAUGCUUUAUUUUUCGUUAAUUUAGCCACUGUAUUGAAUAGAUACCUGGGGUUAUGUUUGUUUUCUUCUAAAAGAGAUGAAAAGUAAUCAGAUCUAGCAGUUUUUAAUGCUUUUCUGUAGGAUAGGUAACUUUCCCUCCAAGCAAUGCAAAAUACCUCUAGUUUUGUUUUCCUCGAGCUGCGCUCCAUUUUCCGGGCUGCUCUCUUUAGGGUGAGAGUGUGCUCAUUAUACCAGGGUGUCAGACUGUUUUCCUUAACCUUUCUUAAGCGUAAAGGAGCAACUGUAUUUAAAAUGCUAGAAGUAGAAUUUACAGUUUUAGCUAUAUGAAGUUUGCACAAAACUAAAUAAUGAUCUGAGAUAUCAUCGCUUGGCUGCAUAAUUGCACCACCAUCAACAUCAAUUCCAUGUGACAGUAUUAAAUCUAGAGUAUGAUUUCGACAGUGAGUAGGUCCUGAGACGUGUUGUCUAACCCCAAUAGAGUUCAGAAUGUCUAUAAAUGCUGAUCCCAAUGCAUUUUCAUUAUCAACAUGGAUAUUAAAAUCACCAACAAUUAAAACUUUAUCUGCAGCCAGCACUAACUUGGAUGUAAAAUCAGCAAACUCUUUAAUAAAGUCUGUAUGGUGCCCUGGUGGCCUGUAUACAGUAGCCAGUACAAACAUCACAGGGGAUUUAUCAUUAACAUUUGUUUCUCUGGAUAAUGUUAUAUGGAGCACCAAUACUUCAAACGAGUUAUACUUGAAGCCUGCCCUCUGAGAAAUCCUGAAAACAUUGUUAUUAAUUGAAGCAACAACUCCCCCUUUACCUUUUGGACGUGGCUCAUGUUUAAAAAAGUAAUCUUGGGGUGUAGACUCAUUGUAAAUAAUGUAAUUAUCAGGUUUUAGCCAUGUUUCUGUCAAACAGAGUGCAUCUAGAUUAUGACCAGUGAGUGAGCAACAUCAUAUGACCCCUUUAAUCCAUGCAGCGUUUGAUCCAUAUCACUGCAAAAUCAGUUAAUUCCAGCAUCCUGCACAUUUAUAUUUUUUUGACAUGCUUUUUUUACAUCAUGAAUAAGUCUACCUAAGACACCCUCAUAAUGGCGUAAGCUACACCUAACCAUUUUAUUUAUAUUGCAUUAUUUACACAUUUAUGAGCAUGUAACCCUUCCCCUGCCCCUUAACCUACCAUCUGUCAAUAAAAAAAGAUAUAACAUGCAGAUACAACUACCAUCAUAAUUUAUUCAAAAAGUACUAAUAUUCCAAGUCUUCCAAGGCAAAAUGAUUGAUUUGUGAGAGGAAUAGAUGCGAUCACCGUCUCCCGCCGCCGCCGCCUUCCUGUGUGCUGCAGUUUGUGUGCGCAUUCAAAUAAUAUUUGCUUUCAGAAGAAGCUUUACAUCAGCCUUGGUUGUGAAAUGCUAUUGGCUCUAGUGAAUGAUUGCAUCAUUCUACGGGACGGGGAGUAUGUGUUUGAGGGCGUUAACGGAGCGGGAUCAUUUUCAGCACUUAAAACCUUAUAUUUUACUCUCUUCUUUGCAUAAAGACAUCGUAUGGCUUCAGAAGGACUUGGAAUGCAACACAACAUGUUUGUAAUGCUUUUAUACUGCUUGUUUAUGGCCAGUUUUUGCAAUAAAUACCUGUGACUGCACUUAUAUUUGCCUGUUACAUGUUUUAUAUUGUUCAAAAGUGGAUAGGUUUAGGGUAGGUGUGGGGUUAGGUGCUCCAAUAAAAGUAUAAAUUUAUAUAAAAUUGUUUAUUUCUUUUUCUUUUUUUCUUAUAAAUGCAUGCAAACCAUUAAAUUGAGACAAACAACUGAAAACAACGAAGGAUCCUGCAAGUGGUCCUGACCAUACUUCAAUAUGUGAUGAGUUGGAAGUGAGAACGUGUUGCAUUAUGAGGUUGUCAUAACUGUCAUGGAUGCACCAACCACAGCCACAGAACCAGUCACUCAAUCACGCCCUCAAUCCCUGGAGUAUUGAGCACCUUCACCUGCACCUGCACUUAGUUACCUGAGCACUAUAAGAGCACACUCACCACUCUAGUUCAUUAGCUGGUCUCAAGGUUACUCUUUUAGUGUUCCCUUCUUCAGCUCUGUGGACAUACUGACACUUUCCUGUACCUGUGCUCUUCCUUCCUCGUGGGAUUUAUUGGACUGUGGACUGGAACCUUGCCUGUAGAUAAGACUGUCCUCUUGCAUUCUCUGUAUUACCCUUCUCAGUUGCAUUUUCAGAGAUACCUCCGUUGUUAUGAGUUUGUGUUAACAUUAUUAAAGAGAAGUUUACGUUACCUGCAUCUUCCUUGUCCUCAUCCUUGAUAUACUGUGACAGAAAACCAGCCCAGAACAUUAUGGAGACCAGAAAACCUCCUGAACCAGA
ensembl:lncRNA